CGAGAUUCUCACUGUCCCUACUUACACCCCGGCGAAACCACAGCCAAGGGAACGGGCUUGGCGGAAUCGGCGGGGAAAGAAGACCCUGUUGAGCUUGACUCUAGUCGAACGUCGAGGAACAGCACGGACGAACGUAGCAUAGGUGGGAGGCUCCGGCCGAACCUGAAAUACCACCGUCUCCGUCGUUGUUCUUCUCAUUUUGGUGGUGUAGGGAUGGGGCGAAGCCCCUUUUUCUGGAGACGGCCGCGACGCGCGCCCGUCCGGGCUCCGUCGCUCGCGCGAGCGAGCGGCGGGGUCCGGCAGGCCUCCGCCCGCGGCGCCUAAUCCGAAGACGUCGUUCGGUGGGGAGUUUGGCUGGGGCGGCACAUCCGUUAAAAGGCAACGCGGGUGUCCAAAGGGGAGCUCGGCGAGAAGGGAAAUCUCGCGUCGAACGAAAGGGUAA
rnacentral:rRNA from 1 species